CGCUGAAACACCGGUUCACGUAUGAUCACCGAAGUUAAGCAACGUUGAGCCUGGUCAGUACCUAAAAUUGUGACCGCUUGAGAACACAAGGUUGU